CGCGUAGGCGGCCUAUUAAGUCAGGUGUGAAAUCUCCAGGGCUCAACCCGGAAACUGCACUUGAUACUGUUAGGCUGGAGUGUCGGAGAGGUGAUUGGAAUUCCUGGUGUAGCGGUGACAUGCAUUGAUAUCAGGAGGAACACCCAUGGCGAAGGCAGAUCACUGGCCGACAACUGACGCUGAGGCGCGAAAGCGUGGGUAGCAAACAGAAUUAGAUACUCUGGUAGUCCACGCCCUAAACGAUGGAUACUAGACGUCAGGGGUAUCGACCCCCCUGGUGUCGCAGCUAACGCAUUAAGUAUCCCGCCUGGGGACUACGGCCGCAAGGUUGAA
rnacentral:rRNA from 1 species